rfam:Gossypium raimondii Chr05_contig_822, whole genome shotgun sequence.
GGUGGAAUUGCCACAACAUGGGCAUUCUUCUUAGCAAGAAUUAUUGCAGUAGAAUAAUGGCUAGGCUAAAUACUUUUGGGUGAUUGAUAGCGAAGUAGUACCGUGAGGGAAGGGUGAAAAGAACCCCCGUCGGGGAGUGAAAUAGAACAUGAAACC